rnacentral:rRNA from 1 species
UACGUAAGGUGCAAGCGUUGUUCGGAAUUACUGGGCGUAAAGUGCACGUAGGCGGGUCUGUAAGUCAGAUGUGAAAUCCCCGGGCUUAACCUGGGAACUGCAUCUGAAACUACAAAUCUUGAAUACCUCAGAGGUUGGUGGAAUUCCUGGUGUAGGAGUGAAAUCCGUAGAGAUCAGGAGGAACAUCGGAGGCGAAGGCGGCCAACUGGGAGAGUAUUGACGCUGAGGUGCGAAAGCGUGGGGAGCAAACAGG